GACAGAUUUCCGCUACUCCGUGACUUACAGCUUCAUUAGUUCGAGAUAUUUCGUAUUCCGCCAUGGAGCUGCUCUAGAGGUGGUGCUCAAUCGUACAUGAUAGAAACCAGAGGCGAGAAGAAACAUGCUUUGACCAGGCUUUUGAUUUUUCCAACCUGCAUUAUGUUGUUUUGAAGGAGAACUAAUGCCCAUUCGGAUUGUAUGUUUUUACUAUGUGGUGGAAGAGACCUCUAGCACAGGUUGAAUCAAUGAUUCUCGGGGAGGUGCAAGACUUACCAAAGGGAUUCUAACGAGAAAAUAAAAUCAUUCAAACGAUUCUCAGGCAACUCUUGUUUGCAUUAGACGGUCUUCACUCAAUAGGGAUUGUUCACCGAGACAUCAAACCACAGAAUAUUAUUUUCUCUGAAGAUACCCAAACUGAGCAGAAUCGUUACAUACAUCCCAUCUGCAACCUGAGAUGGACUGUUUGGAUGCAGCUUUAGUUACCAUAUUUCAGAUACAUAUAGAGGAAGGGCCUGGUGGUAUACUUGUUUUU
rnacentral:lncRNA from 1 species